GAUGAACGCUGGCGGCGUGCUUAACACAUGCAAGUCGAACGGAAAGGCCCAAGCUUGCUUGGGUACUCGAGUGGCGAACGGGUGAGUAACACGUGGGUGAUCUGCCCUGCACUUCGGGAUAAGCCUGGGAAACUGGGUCUAAUACCGGAUAGGACCACUUCUUGGAUGUUGUGGUGGAAAGUUUUUUCGGUGUGGGAUGAGCUCGCGGCCUAUCAGCUUGUUGGUGGGGUAAUGGCCUACCAAGGCGUCGACGGGUAGCCGGCCUGGGAGGGUGUACGGCCACAUUGGGACUGAGAUACGGCCCAGACUCCUACGGGAGGCAGCAGUGGGGAAUAUUGCACAAUGGGCGCAAGCCUGAUGCAGCGACGCCGCGUGGGGGAGGACGGCCUUCGGGUUGGAAACUCCUUUCGCUAGGGACGAAGCGUUUUGUGACGGUACCUGGAGAAGAAGCACCGGCUAACUACGUG
rnacentral:rRNA from 1 species